rnacentral:rRNA from 1 species
AGGACGAACGCUGGCGGCGUGCUUAACACAUGCAAGUCGAGCGGUAAGGCCUUUCGGGGUACACGAGCGGCGAACGGGUGAGUAACACGUGGGUGAUCUGCCCUGCACUCUGGGAUAAGCCUGGGAAACUGGGUCUAAUACCGGAUAUGACCUGCUCUCGCAUGGGGGUGGGUGGAAAGAUUUAUCGGUGCAGGAUGGGGCCCG